AGCUCCAAUAGCGUAUAUUAAAGUUGUUGCGGUUAAAAAGCUCGUAGUUGGAUCUCGGCGGCCAGGGGGCGGUUCGCUCCUCAGCGCUACUGCCCCGCUUUGCCCGGGGGAUUGGGGGAGGUUUCGGGGGGUCUUUCGUUAGGGGCCUCGGGGGGCCGUCAGGUUUACUUUGAAAAAAUUAGAGUGCUCAAAGCAGGCUUUUCACGCUUGAAUAUUCGUGCAUGGAAUAAUGGAAUAGGAACUCGUUUCUAUUUUGUUGGUUUUCGGAAAUCGAGUUAAUGAUUAACAGGGACAAUUGGGGGCAUUAGUAUUCAGACGACAGAGGUGAAAUUCUUGGACCGUCUGAAGACUGACUACUGCGAAAGCAUUUGCCAAGAGUGUUUUCA
rnacentral:rRNA from 1 species